rnacentral:rRNA from 1 species
GACAGAGGGUGCAAACGUUGUUCGGAAUUACUGGGCGUAAAGCGAGUGUAGGCGGUUCGGUAAGUCGGAUGUGAAAGCCCCGGGCUCAACCCGGGAAGUGCACUCGAUACUGCCGAGCUAGAGUAUCGGAGAGGUUGGUGGAAUUCUCGGUGUAGAGGUGAAAUUCGUAGAUAUCGAGAGGAACACCGGUGGCGAAGGCGGCCAACCGGACGAAUACUGACGCUGAGACUCGAAAGCGUGGGGAGCAAACAGG